AUUAAUAAUUAAAUCCACAAUGAUGAAAUUCUUUUCACACUCAGUUAUUGAUCCAUCAUGGUGAAUUAAUGUCACAAAUUCAAUUUACAUAUACAUUUAUUGCUACAUGAGAGAGCAAGCAUUCACAUUGUCAUCGUUGAACAAGUUACUGACUUUGUCGUCUCCACGAAUCGUUACAGCGGUUGUGGUGAAGUACAAAGGAGGAUCAGGGUAAGGCCAGAAUUCAGCCCUUUUCCCUGCCCUCCUCACUCGUUUCAGAACCUUGUUCCGAUCAACGUAUCCGAUCACGGUCACCUUCUCCAUCUCUAUGUCGACUUCCACCGAAUCGAUCCCUAACAUCAUUAAUAAUGAUCCUAUGAAAAGGAAUCAUUCCCUUAAAGAAAAGGAGAACAUGUUAUGAAAUAUACCUCUAAGCUUGUAAAUGGCGUUUUUGACUACUCUUUCGCAACCAGUGCAGCACAUCCUGACUUUGAGGUCCACCGUCUAAUAAAGCAAAGAUUUAUAAGUUUUAACAGUGAAUACUGAAUAGAUUAUUCUGGGUUUAUGUUCAUCUUUUUUUCCUUGUUCAAAAAGGCCCCUUAUGCUUUGUUCUUUUAUGUAGCUAUAGGAAACUUGAGGGAUUAAGAAACCCCUCCAC